rnacentral:rRNA from 1 species
UACGAAGGUGGCGAGCGUUGGUUCGGAAUCACUGGGCAUAAAAGCGCACGUAAGGGCGGCGACGUAAGUUGGGUGUGAAAUCCCUCGGCCCAACCGAAGGAACUGCGCCCAGUUAACUGCGUUGCUUGAGGAUCCAAGGGGUGCAUGGAAUUCCCGGAUGGAGCGGUGAAAUGACGCAGAUAUCAGGAAGAACACCCGUGGCUAAGGCGGCUCUCUAGUACGGUACUGACGCUGAGACGCGAAAGCGUGGGGGAGCGAACAGG